UCAGUCCCCAGCUCUGGUCCUGUGAAUAGAUAGCUUCAUACAUAGCAGUUAGUUAUCGCAUAUAUGCUCUUAGUUCCAUCUGUAAUUACUUCAGCAGCAGUUCUUCAUAAGGACCUCUCAGGUAUGACACAGACAUGGGUUGGCCCAUAGGCAUUUCAUGCGGUGUUAGAUGCAUAUUUCUGUUAGUCUGCAUGCGAUAGGUCAUUAGUGCAGGAGGUAGAGCAUCUACCGAAAAGAGUUCAGAGUCAGCACAAAUUGCGUUAAACUUAGCCUUAAAGGUACCACUUACCUUUUCCACUAUUCCCUGUGACUAAGGGUGAUAAACACAUCAAAAUUUUAAUUUAAUCACAGUUACUGUAACACUGUUUUUUAAACGAACGCUGAGCCAUUGUCAGAGCUAAUCUGAGAUGGUAUGCCGUCUCUAGGAAUUACCUCUCUGGUUAAAAAUUGAAUCAUUGUUCCAGCAGUUUAGUCUGCUGAUUGUAUUGCCUCCCUCCAUCUGCUAAACCUGUCUAUCACCAGGUGCUUAAACGGUCCUUCUAGCAUUGAUAUGAGCCCUGUCGAUACUGACAUAGGGCACGGCCAACAGGCUGCAGCUCCAGACCCGGCAGUAAGGAUGCACAAUUCAGCUAAUUAAAACUUGUCCUUUUUUUUUUUUUAACUACGUUCAACCACUAUGCUAACGAUUCAUCGGUGACUCGAUCACUUGAGUUUUAUUUUACUGUGUUUAUAUUGUUUGGGGAGAGUGUGUGUUCUGUCCAUGGAUAACGGUUUAGAUGUAAAACAACAUGCGUGAGUUUAAAAGAUCUGUGUGUUCCUGUAGGUGUUGGCGAGACGUAACCAUCUGAUCAAUAGGAUCAAUAUGUUAUUCCAGCAGCUGUGUUCCUGUAGGUGUUGGCAGCUCAGGCGCAGAGACGAGCGACUCUGAUUGCAAUCAUCCGUGAUCUAAGGCAGCAACUUCAGCGCAUAGGGUUCAUUACGCACCGGUUUCACUGACUGCAUUUAACGUGCAGCCAAGAAGCUGACAGAAGGUGAGCUGCAUGAUGGCAGGCUGAUCGCCGAUCAGAAGAAGGAGGUGGAAGAUUGAGGAGCUGAUUUUUAUUUUGUUUUUUGUUAAAAGGUUUCUUUAAACAACCAACACCUGCCUGACUGUACGAG